GUGCUCACUUUGGCAGCACAUCUACUAAAAUAGGAACUAUACAGAAAAGAUUAGCCUGGUCCCUGGCGCAAGAAUGACACCCGAAUUUGUGAAGUGUUUCAUAGUUUU
ensembl:snRNA U6 U6 spliceosomal RNA